rnacentral:rRNA from 1 species
UACGGGGAGCAAGCGUUGUUCGGAUUUACUGGGCGUAAAGGGCGCGUAGGCGGUCAGCACAAGUCAGUUGUGAAAUCUCCGGGCUUAACCCGGAAAGGUCAACUGAUACUGUGCGACUAGAGUGCGGAAGGGGCAACUGGAAUUCUUGGUGUAGCGGUGAAAUGCGUAGAUAUCAAGAGGAACACCUGCGGCGAAGGCGGGUCUCUGGGCAGUAACUGACGCUGAGGAGCGAAAGCAUGGGGAGCAAACAGG